rnacentral:rRNA from 1 species
ACGAACGCUGGCGGCGUGCUUAACACAUGCAAGUCGAACGGAAAGGCCCUGCGUUUGUGGGGUGCUCGAGUGGCGAACGGGUGAGUAACACGUGAGUAACCUGCCCUUGACUUUGGGAUAACUUCAUGAAACUGGGGCUAAUACCGGAUAGGAGCUCCUGCUGCAUGGUGGGGGUGGGAAAGUUUCGGCGGUUGGGGAUGGACUCGCGGCUUAUCAGCUUGUUGGUGGGGUAGUGGCUUACCAAGGCUUUGACGGGUAGCCGGCCUGAGAGGGUGACCGGCCACAUUGGGACUGAGAUACGGCCCAGACUCCUACGGGCGGCAGCAGUGGGGAAUAUUGCACAAUGGGCGGAAGCCUGAUGCAGCAACGCCGCGUGCGGGAUGAAGGCCUUCGGGUUGUAAACCGCUUUCGCCUGUGACGAAGCGUGAGUGACGGUAAUGGGUAAAGAAGCACCGGCUAACUACGUG